GCACCCGUAGCUCAGGGGUAGAGCGCCUCGUUGACUCCGAGGAGGUCAUUGGUUCAAAUCCAAUCGGGUGUACCA
rnacentral:tRNA from 1 species